rnacentral:rRNA from 1 species
UACGUAGGGGGCUAGCGUUGUCCGGAAUCAUUGGGCGUAAAGAGCGUGUAGGCGGUCCGGUAAGUCCGCUGUGAAAGUCGGGGGCUCAACCCUCGAAUGCCGGUGGAUACUGUCGGGCUAGAGUGCGGAAGAGGCGAGUGGAAUUCCUGGUGUAGUGGUGAAAUGCGCAGAUAUCAGGAGGAACACCUAUUGCGAAGGCAGCUCGCUGGGACGUAACUGACGCUGAGACGCGAAAGCGUGGGGAGCAAGCAGG